rnacentral:pre_miRNA from 1 species
AGUAACUCUAUUAUAGAGUGAACCAUUGGAGCAAAUUUAACUCUAUAAUAGAGUUACUCUAUUUUAGCUAUUAUAGAGUUAAAUUUGCUCCAAUGGUUCACUCUAUAAUAGAGUUA